GUGCGAAAGCGUGGGGAGCAAACGGAUUAGAUACCCCGGUAGUCACGCCGUAAACGAUGUCUACUAGCCGUUGGAGGACUUGAUCCUUUAGUGGCGCAGCUAACGCGAUAAGUAGACCGCCUGGGGAGUACGGUCGCAAGAUUAAAACUCAAAUGAAUUGACGGGGGCCCGCACAAGCGGUGGAGCAUGUGGUUUAAUUCGAAGCAACGCGAAGAACCUUACCUACUCUUGACAUCCAGUGAACUUUUGAGAGAUCAAUUGGUGCCUUCGGGAACACUGAGACAGGUGCUGCAUGGCUGUCGUCAGCUCGUGUUGUGAAAUGUUGGGUUAAGUCCCGUAACGAGCGCAACCCUUGUCCUUAGUUACCAUCAUUAAGUUGGGGACUCUAAGGAGACUGCCGGUGACAAACCGGAGGAAGGCGGGGACGACGUCAAGUCAUCAUGGCCCUUACGAGUAGGGCUACACACGUGCUACAAUGGCAUGUACAAAGGGUUGCCAAGCCGCGAGGUGGAGCUAAUCCCAUAAAGCAUGUCGUAGUCCGGAUUGGAGUCUGCAACUCGACUCCAUGAAGUCGGAAUCGCUAGUAAUCGUGAAUCAGAAUGUCACGGUGAAUACGUUCCCGGGCCUUGUACACACCGCCCGUCACACCAUGGGAGUGGGUUGCUCCAGAAGUAGAUAGCUUAACCUUCGGGAGGGCGUUUACCACGGAGUGAUUCAUGACUGGGGUGAAGUCGUAACAAGGUAACCGUA
rnacentral:rRNA from 1 species